rnacentral:tRNA from 1 species
CGGGGUCGACAGCCAGCGCUUGGCAGAGCACUUGACUAAAAGUCAAGGGGCCGCAGGUUCAAAUCCUGUCAUCCCGACCA